rnacentral:rRNA from 1 species
AGUGAACGCUGGCGGUAGGCCUAACACAUGCAAGUCGAACGGCAGCACAGUAAGAGCUUGCUCUUACGGGUGGCGAGUGGCGGACGGGUGAGGAAUACAUCGGAAUCUACUUUUUCGUGGGGGAUAACGUAGGGAAACUUACGCUAAUACCGCAUACGACCUACGGGUGAAAGCAGGGGAUCUUCGGACCUUGCGCGAUUGAAUGAGCCGAUGUCGGAUUAGCUAGUUGGCGGGGUAAAGGCCCACCAAGGCGACGAUCCGUAGCUGGUCUGAGAGGAUGAUCAGGCCAAAUGGAAAUGAGGAAAGGUCCAGACUUCUAAGGGAGGCAGCCGUGGGGAAUAUUGGACAAUGGGCGGAAGCCUGAUCCAGCCAUACCGCGUGGGUGAAGAAGGCCUUCGGGUUGUAAAGCCCUUUUGUUGGGAAAGAAAAGCAGCAGGUUAAUACCCCGCUGUUCUGACGGUACCCAAAGAAUAAGCACCGGCUAACUUCGUG